GGAAUAUGCUCGAGCUGCAAGAAGAGUCAAUGGGUUCUCUGUUUACAACACACCCAAGAAGAACCUGGAACCACUGUAAUGAGGGGCACAAGCCAUUUCCUCUCUGCAAGUGGAUCCCCUACAUGU